rnacentral:tRNA from 1 species
GCGCCCGUAGCUCAGGGGAUAGAGCAUCGGCCUUCUAAGCCGAGGGUCGGAGGUUCGAGACCUCCCGGGCGCGCCA